ACGUUAGCGGCGGACGGGUGAGUAACACGUGGGUAACCUACCUAUAAGACUGGGAUAACUCCGGGAAACCGGGGCUAAUACCGGAUAAUACAUGAAACCGCAUGGUUUCAUGAUGAAAGACGGUUUUGCUGUCACUUAUANAUGGACCCGCGGCGUAUUAGCUAGUUGGUAAGGUAACGGCUUACCAAGGCAACGAUACGUAGCCGACCUGAGAGGGUGAUCGGCCACACUGGAACUGAGACACGGUCCAGACUCCUACGGGAGGCAGCAGCG
rnacentral:rRNA from 1 species